rnacentral:rRNA from 1 species
UACGUAGGGGGCAAGCGUUGUCCGGAAUCAUUGGGCGUAAAGCGCGUGUAGGCGGCUUGAUACGUCUGCUCUGAAAGCCCGGGGCUCAACCCUGGGAGGCGGGUGGAUACUGUCGAGCUCGAGUCCGGAAGAGGCGAGUGGAAUUCCUGGUGUAGCGGUGAAAUGCGCAGAUAUCAGGAGGAACACCAAUGGCGAAGGCAGCUCGCUGGGACGGUACUGACGCUGAGACGCGAAAGCGUGGGGAGCAAACAGG